rnacentral:rRNA from 1 species
ACGCUCGACACCUACGGGAGCAGCAGGUGGGGUAAUAUUGCGACAAUGGGGGAAACCCUGAUGCAGCGACGCCGCGUGAAGGAAGAAGUAUCUCGGUAUGUAAACUUCUAUCAGCAGGGAAGAAAGUGACGGUACCUGACUAAGAAGCCCCGGCUAACUACGUGCCUGCAGCCGCGGUAAUCUGAGCGGGCUGGCAAGGC